GACCUCUGGCGCGCCGUCGAAGCGGGUGGCGAGAUAGGCCGCGGUCGUCGCGUAGAUGAACGACUGGUUCCACUUCCGGUAGACGUCG
rnacentral:tRNA from 1 species